AGCUUUGCGCAGUGGCAGCAUCGUAGCCAAUGAGGUUUAUCCGAGGCGUGAUUAUUGCUAAUUGAAAGAGGCAUUCAUCUUCUGACUGUUCUUUUUUUCUAGAGUGUGAACAUCUAAAAAAUUUUUAAAAGCCUAUUUGAAUAGG